UACCACCCUGAACGUGCCGAUCUUGUC
rnacentral:piRNA from 1 species